rnacentral:tRNA from 1 species
GGGGGUGUAGCUCAGCUGGUAGGGCGCUUGAUGGCAGUCAAGAGGUUCGUGGGUUUGAGUCCCAUCACCUCCA